rnacentral:rRNA from 1 species
GACGAACGCUGGCGGCGUGCUUAACACAUGCAAGUCGAACGGUAAGGCCCUUCGGGGUACACGAGUGGCGAACGGGUGAGUAACACGUGGGUGAUCUGCCCUGCACUUCGGGAUAAGCCUGGGAAACUGGGUCUAAUACCGGAUAGGACCCUGGGAUGCAUGUCCUGGGGUGGAAAGCUUUUGCGGUGUGGGAUGGGCCCGCGGCCUAUCAGGUUGGUUGUGGGGUGAUGGCCUACCAAGGCGACGACGGGUAGCCGGCCUGAGAGGGUGACCGGCCACACGGGGACUGAGAUACGGCCCAGACUCCGACGGGAGGCAGCAGUGGGGAAUAUUGCACAAGGGGCGCAAGCCUGAUGCAGCGACGCCGCGUGAGGGAUGACGGCCUUCGGGUUGUAAACCUCUUUCAGCACCGACGAAGCGCAAGUGACGGUAGGUGCAGAAGAAGGACCGGCCAACUACGUGCCAGCCGCCGCCGUAA